rnacentral:misc_RNA from 1 species
GUUCUACUUCUGUGCCUAUAAAUACAUCCAGUGAGGAAGCAUUAGAAGAUAUGGUAAACUAGAAAGGAAAAGUAAUAAUGGAGAACAAGUUGAGCAAGAUCUUAAUCUUCGGCGGAACUGGUUAUAUAGGCAAGUUCUUGGUGAAGGCAAGCGUCUUGCUGGGCCAUAAAACUUAUGUCUAUGCUCGCCCUAUCACCUCACUAACUCCUCCCUCCAAGAUACACAUCCACAGGGACUUCCAGUCCAUGGGAGUCAACGUUGUUCAUGGGGAAUUGGACGAGCAUGACAAAAUUGUGGCACUACUUGGCCAAGUAGAUGUAGUGAUCUCUGCCCUAGCUUACCCUCAGGUUCUUGACCAACUCAAGAUCAUAGAUGCCAUUAAAGUUGCCGGUAAUAUUAAGAGGUUCUUCCCGUCAGAUUUCGGGAUUGAAGAGGAUAGGGUGACUCCCUUACCACCAUUUGAGGCUGUUCUUGAGAAGAAGAGAACAAUAAGAAGGGCAACAGAAGCAGCUGGGAUUCCUUUCACGUUUGUUUCUGCAAAUUGCUUUGGUUCUUACUUUAUCAAUUACUUGCUUCGACCACGUGAGCAAAGACAUAACGUUGAUGUCUAUGGUAGCGGUGAAGCUAAAGCUGUGCUAAACUACGAGGAAGACAUCGCAAUUUAUACCAUAAAAGCAGCAGAUGACCCAAGAACGCUUAAUCGAGUCGUAAUCUAUAGGCCAGAGAAGAACAUCAUAUCUCAGUUUGAACUAAUCUCUCUUUGGGAGAAGAAAACUGGUCAGUCUUUGAAUAAAGUUCAUAUCUCAGAGAAACACAUUGUGGAGCUGUCGAAGACUCUACCUCAUCCACGCAAUAUUCCAGUGGCUAUCCUUCACAGCUUGUUUGUAAAAGGCGACCUGAUGAGCUAUGAAUUGGAGAAGGAUGAUCUUGAGGUUUCAAAGCUCUAUCCAGACUUUGAAUACACCACUCUCGAUCGGCUUCUUGAUAUUUUUCUUGUUAACCCUCCAGAGCCUGCAUUUGCUGCCUUUGAAUGAGCUAAGUGUCAACUAGCAUGAUUAUUUCAAAUUAAUUGUAAUAUUCGACUCAAGUUCUUAAUAGCCUUGUAAUCUUAAAAAUAAUUUUACUAUUGUUGUCCCAAAAAUAGUCCAAG